GCUAGGCAUAGUGGCACAUACCUGUAGUCCUAGUUAUUUGGGAGUCUGAGGCAGGAGGAUCAUUUGAGCCCAGGAGUUCAAGGCUGUAGUGUGCUGUGAUGGAGCCUGUGAAUAGCCACUGCACUCCAGCCUGGGCAACAUAGAAAGACCCUGCCUCUU
ensembl:misc_RNA Metazoa_SRP Metazoan signal recognition particle RNA